UCCUCCUAAAGAGUAACGGAGGAGCACGAAGGUUGGCUAAUCCUGGUCGGACAUCAGGAGGUUAGUGCAAUGGCAUAAGCCAGCUUGACUGCGAGCGUGACGGCGCGAGCAGGUGCGAAAGCAGGUCAUAGUGAUCCGGUGGUUCUGAAUGGAAGGGCCAUCGCUCAACGGAUAAAAGGUACUCCGGGGAUAACAGGCUGAUACCGCCCAAGAGUUCAUAUCGACGGCGGUGUUUGGCACCUCGAUGUCGGCUCAUCACAUCCUGGGGCUGAAGUAGGUCCCAAGGGUAUGGCUGUUCGCCAUUUAAAGUGGUACGCGAGCUGGGUUUAGAACGUCGUGAGACAGUUCGGUCCCUAUCUGCCGUGGGCGCUGGAGAACUGAGGGGGGCUGCUCCUAGUACGAGAGGACCGGAGUGGACGCAUCACUGGUGUUCGGGUUGUCAUGCCAAUGGCACUGCCCGGUAGCUAAAUGCGGAAGAGAUAAGUGCUGAAAGCAUCUAAGCACGAAACUUGC
rnacentral:rRNA from 1 species